UACGUAGGGUGCAAGCGUUGUCCGGAAUUAUUGGGCGUAAAGAGCUCGUAGGCGGUCUGUCGCGUCUGCCGUGAAAGUCCGGGGCUCAACUCCGGAUCUGCGGUGGGUACGGGCAGACUAGAGUGAUGUAGGGGAGACUGGAAUUCCUGGUGUAGCGGUGAAAUGCGCAGAUAUCAGGAGGAACACCGGUGGCGAAGGCGGGUCUCUGGGCCGUAACUGACGCUGAGGUGCGAAAGCGUGGGGAGCGAACAGG
rnacentral:rRNA from 1 species